rnacentral:rRNA from 1 species
CAAGCUCGUCGGACGACAAAGGCAAGCUUGCUCCGCUGAACGAGUGGCGAACGGGUGAGUAAUGCGUCGGAACGUGCCGAGUAGUGGGGGAUAACUAUCCGAAAGGAUAGCUAAUACCGCAUACGCUUUGAGAAGGAAAGCAGGGGAUCGCAAGACCUUGCGCUAUUCGAGCGGCCGACGUCUGAUUAGCUAGUUGGUGAGGUAAAGGCUCACCAAGGCAUCGAUCAGUAGCGGGUCUGAGAGGAUGAUCCGCCACACUGGGACUGAGACACGGCCCAGACUCCUACGGGAGGCAGCAGUGGGGAAUUUUGGACAAUGGGCGCAAGCCUGAUCCAGCCAUGCCGCGUGUCUGAAGAAGGCCUUCGGGUUGUAAAGGACUUUUGUCAGGGAGGAAAUCCCUAGCGCUAAUAUCGCUGGGGGAUGACAGUACCUGAAGAAUAAGCACCGGCUAACUACGUGCCAGCAGCCGCGGUAAUACGUAGGGUGCAAGCGUUAAUCGGAAUUACUGGGCGUAAAGCGUGCGCAGGCGGUUGUGUAAGUCUGAUGUGAAAGCCCCGGGCUCAACCUGGGAACUGCAUUGGAGACUGCACAGCUAGAGUGCGUCAGAGGGGGGUAGAAUUCCGCGUGUAGCAGUGAAAUGCGUAGAGAUGCGGAGGAAUACCGAUGGCGAAGGCAGCCCCCUGGGAUGACACUGACGCUCAUGCACGAAAGCGUGGGGAGCAAACAGGAUUAGAUACCCUGGUAGUCCACGCCCUAAACGAUGUCAACUAGCUGUUGGGGGGUUUGAAUCCUUGGUAGCGUAGCUAACGCGAGAAGUUGACCGCCUGGGGAGUACGGCCGCAAGGUUAAAACUCAAAGGAAUUGACGGGGACCCGCACAAGCGGUGGAUGAUGUGGGAUUAAUUUCGAUGCAACGCGAAAACCUUUACCCUGGUCUUGACAUGUACGGGAACUUGCCAGAAGAUGGCUUGGUGCCCGGAAAAGGGAGCCGUAACACAAGGUGCUGCAUGGCUUGUCGUCAGCCUCCGUGUCGUGAGAUGUUUGGGAUAAGUCCCGCAACGAGGCGCCAACCCAUGCCAAUUUUGUUGUCCUUUAAC